AGCGAACGCUGGCGGCAGGCCUAACACAUGCAAGUCGAACGGACCCUUCGGGGUUAGUGGCGGACGGGUGAGUAACACGUGGGAACGUGCCUUUAGGUUCUGAAUAGCUCCUGGAAUCGGGUGGUAAUGCCGAAUGUGCCCUACGGGGGAAAGAUUUAUCGCCUUUAGAGCGGCCCGCGUCUGAUUAGCUAGUUGGUGAG
rnacentral:rRNA from 1 species